AGCGUUGUGCAAGCAGGCUCUGGAGACCCGCAGGCUCCUGGGCAGAGGGCUGCCUUCUGUGUGGGCUUGCCCCUCGCCACACCUGGCCAGGAGCCUCCCCCAGCCCCGUGACCCUUGUGUCAGAGCCUGGCCAGAUGACAGACGGCCUGGGGUGCAGGCGAGACCCACUGAACUGGCAGCUGAGGACAGGUCCAGGCCCAGUGGCUGGGGGACUUCUCAGAGCAGGUACCACAACAGCUACCCAAGGACUCAGGACUUUUCUCCCACAGCCAGACUUGGUGAUUGCAUGAAGGAGCCCAGCCUCGGAUGACCUUUCCCCGUGACAAGGCACUAGGAGAGCACAGACCUCCCCACACAAACAGUAAGUCAGCAUGUGGUUAAAAAUGUAA
rnacentral:lncRNA from 1 species